rnacentral:rRNA from 1 species
GAUGAACGCUAGCGACAGGCCUAACACAUGCAAGUCGAGGGGAAGGGCAGCAAUGCCCGAGACCGGCGCACGGGUGCGUAACGCGUAUGUAACCUGCCUUACACCGGGGGAUAGCCUUCCGAAAGGGAGAUUAAUACCGCAUAAUACUAUUUGUCAGCAUUGGCUUAUAGUUAAAACUGAGGUGGUGUAAGAUGGGCAUGCGUAUGAUUAGCUAGUUGGGGGGGGUAACGGCCCACCAAGGCGACGAUCAUUAGGGGUUCUGAGAGGAAGAUCCCCCACACUGGUACUGAGACACGGACCAGACUCCUACGGGAGGCAGCAGUGAGGAAUAUUGGUCAAUGGGCGGAAGCCUGAACCAGCCAUGUCGCGUGCAGGAAGACUGCCCUAUGGGUUGUAAACUGCUUUUGUAUGGGAAGAACACCAGAUACGAGUAUCUGUCUGCCGGUACCAUACGAAUAAGGAUCGGCUAACUCCGUG